UCCUGACUGACCGAUAGUGAACCAGUACCGUGAGGGAAAGGCGAAAAGAACCCCGGCGAGGGGAGUGAAAAAGAACCUGAAACCGUGUACGUACAAGCAGUGGGAGCACGCUUAGGCGUGUGACUGCGUACCUUUUGUAUAAUGGGUCAGCGACUUAUAUUCUGUAGCAAGGUUAACCGAAUAGGGGAGCCGAAGGGAAACCGAGUCUUAACUGGGCGUUAAGUUGCAGGGUAUAGACCCGAAACCCGGUGAUCUAGCCAUGGGCAGGUUGAAGGUUGGGUAACACUAACUGGAGGACCGAACCGACUAAUGUUGAAAAAUUAGCGGAUGACUUGUGGCUGGGGGUGAAAGGCCAAUCAAACCGGGAGAUAGCUGGUUCUCCCCGAAAGCUAUUUAGGUAGCGCCUCGUGAAUUCAUCUCCGGGGGUAGAGCACUGUUUCGGCAAGGGGGUCAUC
rnacentral:rRNA from 2 species